GCCAUUUAACCUACGCAAAUGAACAAAUCUGCAUGCAUCCAGUAAAACUUUAAUGAUCAAAAUUUCAUCGUGAAGAGAUACUUCGUCAGACCUGAAUCAUUACUUCGUUGAGGAUGGACUCAAGUAGUUUGAAUGGAUGGAAGACCAGAUGACUACUUCUAUUCAUUAUCUAUGUGCAAUAUUCUACGCAGAUCGGUUUCUGCUUUUCCAUGGGAGUUCUGUUUCCUUACCUGUCAGAUAAGUUCCAGCGGAAUAGGAAAGAUACCGUCCUUGUACAGUCAAUUACCACAACUGUGCUCCUUUCAUCAGGUAUUAUAUUUGGACAGCUGAUAAAGAGAUUUGGGCUCUUUAAAUUAUCAUUUGUUCCACUUCUCUUUUGUCCUGUGGGAUUCAUUCUAGCAUAUUUUGCUACCGAAUUGUGGCAGCUUUACAUUUGUAUCGGCAUUAUAGGAGAUCGGCAAUUGUGCAAGAGACAAACGAUAUUCUAUUCUCUCUAUAUCUAGGCAUCGGAUUUUCAUGUACGAAUGUUUUCGCCUAUACCGCGGUGGGUUUGGCUUUCGUUGGAAGACAAAGGAGUCUCAGCAUUGCAAUUCUGGCUACUGGGACUGGUGUUGCUGGAAUCUGUUAUCCCUUUUUUAUGAAAUGGGUCACCGAAACAUACGGAGUACAGCACUGUUUCUUGUCUGUUGGUCUCUUCUUUCUUUCUUCGAGUGUGUUACCGUUUAUACUUCGCAGGGAAAGUUGCAACGCAAACCCACAGGGCGAUCAAGAACCCAACCCCGAUGAGAAAAAGAAAAACCUUUUGCGGAGAGUACUUACUACAUUUGUAAUGGAAAUGAAACAAGUGCUUAUCGUGGAAUUUAUGUUAAAUGUGUUUGCCACAUGCAUUAUCAUUGGAGUUAUAAAUGGAACUGUUUUUUCUCUUCAAAUGGACAUCGCUAGAUGGAAAUCUUUGUCUGACUUGGAUGGAAUCUUUGUUUUUAAUUUUCUGAACCUUGCUAUUAUAAUUGCCGGUUUCUUGCCAGGAGUUUUGAAGCAGGUUCGUUGCUGCAGUAUAAGUUACUCAUUUAUUCUUGCUGGAGCCACAGUUUCGGGAAUUGGAGGGUAUAUUGUAAUAACUGUAUACACAACCCGCACAGGGUAUCUAGCUGGAAACGCACUAAUCGAAUUGCAACUUGGAGCUGUAAUAUCCACGAUAAUGAUCUCUCUCAAACAUAUGGAAAAGAAGCACUUGUCCUUUGCUUCAAGCAUUGUGAUAACUUGCAAUGGACUUGCGUCAAUAGGAACUGCACCUCUGUUUGCUCAUAUUCGGGAUGUAACGAUGGAUUAUUAUCCUGUUUUGUACGCGUCAAUUUCCCUCAAUAUAGUUGGUUUGGCCUUGUAUGUAUUGGCAUUUGUGUGCAGAAGAAGAAAAUCUUCUGAAGACAUGAACACUAUCCAUGUAUAUACUGUCGAAACGCAACCUAUAACGUCAGCUGUUGCCUUGGAUACUGGACUUGCUACCACUAACAUCGAUGUUUUGUAACGAUUUGAUUUUCAAAUGACCUUGCUUGUACCAAUAAACG